rnacentral:misc_RNA from 1 species
CUGCCACGCUCCCGCUCGCCGCCGGAGCGCGCCUCG